rnacentral:rRNA from 1 species
GACGGAGGAUGCAAGUGUUAUCCGGAAUCACUGGGCGUAAAGCGUCUGUAGGUGGUUCGAAAAGUCCACUGAUUAAAGAUUGAGCUUAACUUCAAAAUGCCGUGGAAACUUUCAAACUAGAGUAUGGUAGGGGUAGAGGGAAUUUCCAGUGGAGCGGUGAAAUGCGUAGAUAUUGGAAAGACCACCGAUGGCGAAGGCACUCGUACUGGGCCAUUACUGACACUGAGAGACGAAAGC